GGGGGCUCACCGAAGUCGGCCAGCUUGAGCUCGCCCCGCCCGUGGCUGAGCAGGUUCUGGGGGGCGGGGUGGGGGUUUGGGGGUCCAGGGGGCUCACCGAAGUCGGCCAGCUUGAGCUCGCCCCGCUCGUGGCUGAGCAGGUUCUGGGGGGCGGGGUGGGGGUUUGGGGGUCCAGGGGGCUCACCGAAGUCAGCCAGCUUGAGCUCGCCCCGCUCGUGGCUGAGCAGGUUCUGGGGGGCGGGGUGGGGGUUUGGGGGUCCGGGGGGCUCACCGAAGUCGGCCAGCUUGAGCUCGCCCCGCUCGUGGCUGAGCAGGUUCUGGG